GCUCACUGUAGUUCAGUGGUAGAACGCCCGUCCUGGACUUUUCUUCAGAAAUGCGGAGGUCGGAGGUUCGAUUCCUCCUGGUGGCA